UCGAGCGGGCGUAGCAAUACGUCAGCGGCAGACGGGUGAGUAACGCGUGGGAACAUACCUUUUGGUUCGGAACAACACAGGGAAACUUGUGCUAAUACCGGAUAAGCCCUUACGGGGAAAGAUUUAUCGCCGAAAGAUUGGCCCGCGUCUGAUUAGCUAGUUGGUGAGGUAACGGCUCACCAAGGCGACGAUCAGUAGCUGGUCUGAGAGGAUGAUCAGCCACAUUGGGACUGAGACACGGC
rnacentral:rRNA from 1 species